rnacentral:rRNA from 1 species
GACGAACGCUGGCGGCGUGCCUAACACAUGCAAGUCGAGCGGUAACAGGUGUAGCAAUACAUGCUGACGAGCGGCGGACGGGUGAGCAAUAUUUGGGAAUCUGCCUAUUAGUGGGGGAUAACCCGGGGAAACUCGGGCUAAUACCGCAUACGCUCUACGGAGGAAAGCCGGGGACCGCAAGGCCUGGCGCUAGUAGAUGAGCCCAAAUCGGAUUAGCUAGUUGGUGAGGUAACGGCUCACCAAGGCGACGAUCCGUAGCUGGUUUGAGAGAACGACCGGCCACACCGGAACUGAGACACGGUCCGGACUCCUACGGGAGGCAGCAGUGGGGAAUAUUGGACAAUGGGCGAAAGCCUGAUCCAGCGACGCCGCGUGGGUGAAGAAGGCCUGCGGGUUGUAAAGCCCUUUCGGUUGGGAAGAAAAGUAUUGGCCUAAUACGCUAGUACCUUGACGUAACCAAC